rnacentral:rRNA from 1 species
ACGCUGGCGGCAGGCCUAACACAUGCAAGUCGAGCGGUAGAGAGAAGCUUGCUUCUCUUGAGAGCGGCGGACGGGUGAGUAAUGCCUAGGAAUCUGCCUGGUAGUGGGGGAUAACGUUCGGAAACGGACGCUAAUACCGCAUACGUCCUACGGGAGAAAGCAGGGGACCUUCGGGCCUUGCGCUAUCAGAUGAGCCUAGGUCGGAUUAGCUAGUUGGUGGGGUAAUGGCUCACCAAGGCGACGAUCCGUAACUGGUCUGAGAGGAUGAUCAGUCACACUGGAACUGAGACACGGUCCAGACUCCUACGGGAGGCAGCAGUGGGGAAUAUUGGACAAUGGGCGAAAGCCUGAUCCAGCCAUGCCGCGUGUGUGAAGAAGGUCUUCGGAUUGUAAAGCACUUUAAGUUGGGAGGGAGGGUUGUAGAUUAAUACUCUGCAAUUUUGACGUUACCGACAGAAUAAGCACCGGCUAACUCUGUGCCAGCAGCCGCGGUAAUACAGAGGGUGCAAGCGUUAAUCGGAAUUACUGGGCGUAAAGCGCGCGUAGGUGGUUAGUUAAGUUGGAUGUGAAAUCCCCGGGCUCAACCUGGGAACUGCAUUCAAAACUGACUGACUAGAGUAUGGUAGAGGGUGGUGGAAUUUCCUGUGUAGCGGUGAAAUGCGUAGAUAUAGGAAGGAACACCAGUGGCGAAGGCGACCACCUGGACUGAUACUGACACUGAGGUGCGAAAGCGUGGGGAGCAAAC